GGGGCUGCUGGGGGCUUCCAGGAGCGCGCGUGUGCGGACGGCUGGCUGCAGGCGCCCGGGCAGGCUGUAACCCGCCGCUGGACUGGCGCUUUUGUGUCUGGAGGCUUCGGCCUGGCCGCCGUCGCCUAUAAGCUACGAAGAGGAGCUUUACGACUUGGCCGGGCGCAGCAAAGGCCAGACUUUGCGUGAACAGGCGCUACGCGCCAACUGGCCGGCACCUGGCGGGCACCAUCGCACGGUGGCGCAGAAGCUCCUCAAUGGCCAGCGCCAGCUGCAGCAGCGGCCGCGCACUCGCCUAGCCUGAGCUUGGGCGAAUGUGCAUUGGGAAAGUCGACAUUAAUCAACUCAUUAUUCCUCAUAGAUUUGUAUUCUGCAGAGUAUCCAGGUCCUUCUCACAGAAUUAAAAAGACUGUACAGCUGGCAGCCUGUUAUCGAUUACAUUGAUAGUAAAUUUGAGGACUACCUAAAUGCAGAAUCAUGCACGAACAGACAUCAGAUGCCUGAUAACAGGGUGCAGUGUUGUUUAUCCUUCAUUGUUCCUUCAGGACAUGGACCAUUACAUAACUGAAGACUCCCACCUUCAGGCAGGAUUGCGUAGUACAUGUUUGUAACUACUUCACAUUGCCUUUUGUUGAGACUUACACCAUUGGAUAUUGAGUUUAUGAAGUGUUUGCAUGAAAAAGUGAAUAUCAUCCCACUUAUUGCCAAAGCAGACACACUCACACCAGAGGAAUGCCAACAGUUUAAAAAACAGUUGAACAUGGUGAACAUUGUUAUUUUACAAUUCUAAGAAAUACGUUGAUAAGUGAAAAUAUCUAUAACCAGCAUCCAGGAGGGAUACUGUCGGUGAAACCUGCUUAGCUGAGGACUGGCUGUGUGUGUGCCUCCAGACCAAUCAUAUGUUUGUUUUGAGAUACAUUUUUCGGAGGAAGGUAAUGCACACAUGCCAUGUAUUUUCUUUUUGUUUCAUACUUUUUCUUCUUUAAUUUCCUGGCAUCCAUUGGUUCUCUCCAGGCAAUCGGUGGUAUGUUAGCCACAGUGGACACUGCACAGGAGAGCAGGGGGUGGGGGAUUAGGGUGCUGCAAGCAGAAUAAUAAAUUUCAGGCCCAACCUUAUGUCUGUUGAAUCAGAACUGCUGAGUAUGGGGCUCAGGCUCCUGUGUUUGAAUAAGCCCUCAAGUGACUCUGAUGCUAAAGUUUGCAAAGCACUGCUCUAGAAGUUUCGGGAGGUCCCAGGGUCAGGCACGUGCUGAGGAGGAAGAGUUGUUCCUGGGACUCCCUGCCUAUUCUCAAUCAAAAACUCAAACUUAGGAAAGCCAGUGAGGUUUGUAUUCGCCUUACGUCAGGGGUGGGGUUGGAUUUACCAUUUCUUUGACUCCUUCAAUAUUUUAGGUAACUUUUCAGGUCACACACAACAGACUGAUUUUCCUGUGGAAGACCUCACAGGAGUUCUCUUGAACCAGGAGACUAUUUUGAGCUGAAAUACCUGGAGCCCUGUCAAGCUAUUUGGGCCUUUCAAUUUGAAAUCCAGGUUAGGACGGUUCUAAGCCCUACGGCAGAGACUGUAAUCAUUUUCUCUUCACCCUCAGGGUGAGGACUCACCCUCAGGGUUGGGAGUGACUGCUGUCUCUCAAGCCCCCAGCAAUUACACCAUGUUCUGGUUGUUAAAAUCCAGUGUAUGCAUGAAAUGUAAUAAAAGUAUCCUUGCAGCACUAAGUAGAGUGUUCCUUGUUGUGAGCAGACCAUUCCUCUUCCUCCUUGGAAAAAAAAUCUCUAUCCACUUUCUACAUUUUCACGUUUAUCUCUUCCUCUAUACACACCUCAGCUGCUGCUUUAUUUCCACAUGUCUCAUGUAAGGAUCUUUUUUUUAUAUAGUAACCUUGGCUUUUCCCACUGUUCAUGCUUCCACGAGUUGGAUGUAGGCAAUAUAGGAGCCCACUGCAAAAGUGUAGGUGAUACUGUCCAGAAAGAAACCUGAAUUUCAGAGGCUUGCUGUUGUGGAAGAAAGCCAAGAUAUUAGACUUGUAGAGCUUCACUCUGCUAGAGAGUAAAAAUGUACUCCAAUGCAUUGCCUUGAACUAUUCCCAACCUCUAUGCUGUGAGCCUCAACAUCACAUAAGGCGAUUGCGACAGCAGAAGGAAGACAAAAAAGUAACGAGGGGGAAAGAAGAACGGGAUCACAACGGGGGUCUCUUGACCCCAAACAAAAGCGUGAACAGGCGGUUUACGUUCGCUCCCUUUUUUUUUUUUUUUUUUGAGACAGAGUUUUGCUCUCGUUGCCCAGGCUAGAGUGCAGUGGCGCAAUCUCGGCUCACUGCAACUUCUGCCUUCCAUUUUUAAGCGAUUCUCCUGCCUCAGCCUGCCAAGCAGCUGGGAUUACAGGCAUCCACCACCACGCCCAGCUAAUUUUUUUGUAUUUUUAGUAGAGGCGGGGUUUCACCAUGUUGGUCAGGCUGAUCUCGAACUGCUGACCUCGUGAUCCACCCUCCUCGGCCUCCCAAAGUGCUAGGAUUACAGGCAUGAACCACGCGCCAGGCCCUCCAUUUUGUACAAUGGUUAAAGAGACGCAAAGACGAAGAAGGGAGAAAAAUGCCCGUGGGCAUCUUUUUUUCUUCUUAGUUGUUUUUGUUUUCUAGGCAAAAGAGCAGAGUGAAAGCAUCUGUCUGUUGAUUUCUCCACCAGUCUCUCCCUGUCGACCUGCACAGGGACACAAGUGCGAUCCAAUACUGAGACAAGGACUACUGUGGCUCUCUAGUCACUUGGGAUGGGAGUGGCAGGACUCUGGAUGGCCGAAGACUGUCGGGGAAUUAGAGGCCUUCAACAUGCGAGAAGCAGAAACCAAUACGGAUUAACAUUCCCUACGGAUAUUCCAUAAGACUGAUUCAUAUUCAUAUUCCUGUAUUUCCUCAGUCACUCCAAUAUUGCCUGGGAACUUCUGGUAACAGCAAACCGAGGCCCCAUAUGAAAAAAACAGGAAAAGGUUUUGUCACAAUGGAAAAUACAUGCAGAGCAAAAGGGUAAGAUAUUUCUGAAGGAAAUCAGAAAAGCCCCAAAUCAAGACUUCAUUGUUAUUACUCAUAAGAGAAGACUGAAGCUUUAACAAUUAAUCUGCUUAGAACUGCAAUGUAAACUGCACGCAGCUAUUACCUGAUUUUUAUUUCUACUACUUUUCUUCCAUCACAAGCCCUAUGCAGAAAAAAAAGUGCCUCAGCAUCAGCGGAAGGAAAUGACACAGCAGGAGGGAGAAGGAGGAAGAGAAGAACCAGCUUUACAAGAUCUCUGGAUCAUGUUUCCAUGCCAACUGUAAAAUUCUUUGCCUUGCCCUAGAUCCAAAAGAUUUUCUUUCAUGUUUUUUCCCAAAAGUUUUAUACUUUUACAUUUUAUGUUUACAUCCUUGAUCCAUUUUGAGUUCAUUUUUGUAUAAGGCAUAAUGUUGACAUUCUUUUAAUUUUUUUAUUAAAAAAAUUUUUUGUUGAUAGCUGGGUGUGGUGACAGGUGCCUGUAAUCCCAGCUACUCGGGAGGCUGAGGCAGGAGAAUCACUUGAAACUGGGAGGUGGCAGAGAUUGCAGUGAGCCAAAAUCGCGCCAUUGCACUCCAGCCUGGGCGAUAAAGCAAGACUCUGUCUCAAAAACAAAAAAACAAAAUUUUGAGACAGAGUCUUGUUCUGUAGUCCAGGCUGGAGUGCAGUGGUAGUAUCACUGCUCACUACAGUCUCAACAUCUAGGGACCCAGUGACCCUCCCACCUCAGCCUCCCUGAGUAUCUGGAACCACAGGCGCAAGCCCACUGUGACCAGCUUUUUUUUUGGUAGAGUCAGGAUCACCCUUUGUUGCUCAGGCUGAUCUGCAACUCCUGGGCUCAAGCAAUCCUCCUGCCUCAGUCUUCCAAAGUGUUGUUGCGGCUACAGGCAUGAGCCAGGGGGCCCGGACUUGCUUCCUGCCUUUCUUAUACAAUGAUACAAGCAUACAACAAUGUAAUACAAUAGUCUUGAAGUCAAGUUGACUGUUUCUUCCCCUUAUAUUUUUAUUCUUAAUGAUUAUUUUAGCUAUUCUAAUUCCUUUAACUUCCUACAUAAAUUUUAGAUUAAAAAUCUUGCUUGGAUUUUGA